CCCUUAGAUGUUCUGGGCCGCACGCGUGCUACACUGAGUGGAUCAGCGGGUCAGGUUGCGCGAAAGCGUUUCCUAAUCUUUAAAUCCGCUCGUGAUGGGGAUCGACGGUUGCAAUUUUCCGUCGUGAACGAGGAAUACCUUGUAGGCGCGUGUCAUCAUCACGCGCCGAAUACGUCCCUGCCCUUUGUACACACCGCCCGUCGCUCCUACCGAUUGAGUGAUCCGGUGAGGCUCUGGGACCUGGACGGAAAGAGCGUUUCGCUUGUUCUGUUUGGGAAACUUGGUCGAACCUUAUCAUUUAGAGGAAGGAGAAGUCGUAACA
rnacentral:rRNA from 1 species